CCUACGGGUGGCAGCAGUGAGGAAUAUUGGUCAAUGGCCGGAAGGCUGAACCAGCCAUGCCGCGUGAAGGUCAGUGCCCUAUGGGCGUUAAACUUCUUUUGUGCGGGAGCAAUAAUGGUCACGUGUGGCCAGACGAGAGUACCGUACGAAUAAGCAUCGGCUAACUCCGUGCCAGCAGCCGCGGGAAUACGGGGGAUGCAAGCGUUAUCCGGAUUUAUUGGGUUUAAAGGGUGCGUAGGCUGUGAGGUAAGUCAGCGGUGAAAUGCCCCCGGUCAACGGGGUGAAGUGCCAUUGAUACUGCCUUGCUGGAAUGCGGAUGCCGUGGGAGGAAUGUGUGGUGUAGCGGUGAAAUGCAUAGAUAUCACACAGAACACCGAUUGCGAAGGCAUCUCACGAAUCUAUAUCUGACGUUGAGGCACGAAAGCGUGGGGAGCAAACAGGAUUAGAUACCCGAGUAAUC
rnacentral:rRNA from 1 species